GACGAACGCUGGCGGCGUGCUUAACACAUGCAAGUCGAACGGAAAGGCCCUGCUUGCAGGGUCCUCGAGUGGCGAACGGGUGAGUAACACGUGGGUGAUCUGCCCUGCACUUCGGGAUAAGCUUGGGAAACUGGGUCUAAUACCGGAUAGGAGCCAUCUUUAGUGUGGUGGUUGGAAAGUUUUUUCGGUGUAGGAUGAGCUCGCGGCCUAUCAGCUUGUUGGUGGGGUAAUGGCCUACCAAGGCGGCGACGGGUAGCCGGCCUGAGAGGGUGUACGGCCACAUUGGGACUGAGAUACGGCCCAGACUCCUACGGGAGGCAGCAGUGGGGAAUAUUGCACAAUGGGCGCAAGCCUGAUGCAGCGACGCCGCGUGGGGGAUGAAGGCCUUCGGGUUGUAAACUCCUUUCGCUAGGGACGAAGCUUUGUUGUGACGGUACCUAGAGAAGAAGCACCGGCUAACUACGUG
rnacentral:rRNA from 1 species